AUUGAACGCUGGCGGCAUGCCUUACACAUGCAAGUCGAACGGUAACAGGUCUUCGGAUGCUGACGAGUGGCGAACGGGUGAGUAACACAUCGGAACGUGCCCGAUCGUGGGGGAUAACGCAGCGAAAGCUGUGCUAAUACCGCAUACGACCUACGGAUGAAAGCGGGGGAUCGCAAGACCUCGUGCGGACGGAGCGGCCGAUGGCAGAUUAGGUAGUUGGUGGGAUAAAAGCUUACCAAGCCGACGAUCUGUAGCUGGUCUGGGAGGACGACCAGCCACACUGGGACUGAGACACGGCCCAGACUCCUACGGGAGGCAGCAGUGGGGAAUUUUGGACAAUGGGCGCAAGCCUGAUCCAGCCAUGCCGCGUGCAGGAUGAAGGCCUUCGGGUUGUAAACUGCUUUUGUACGGAACGAAAAAGUUCUCUCUAAUACAGGGGGCGAAUGACGGUACCGUAAGAAUAAGCACCGGCUAACUACGUGCCAGCCGCCGCAGUAAGAC
rnacentral:rRNA from 1 species